AACGAACGCUGGCGGCGUGCCUAACACACGCAAGUCGAACGAGAAAGGGACUUCGGUCCUGAGUAAAGUGGCGCACGGGUGAGUAACACGUAGGUAACCUGCCUCUAAGAUUGGGAUAACCUGUCGAAAGACGAGCUAAUACCGAAUAAGACCACGGCUCCCUCGGGAGCAGCGGUCAAAGAUAGCCUCUACUUGUAAGCUAUCACUUAGAGAUGGGCCUGCGUACCAUUAGCUAGUUGGUGGGGUAACGGCCUACCAAGGCAAAGAUGGUUAGCUGGUCUGAGAGGAUGAUCAGCCACACUGGAACUGAGACACGGUCCAGACUCCUACGGGAGGCAGCAGUGGGGAAUAUUGCACAAUGGGGGAAACCCUGAUGCAGCAACGCCGCGUGAAGGAUGAAGGUUUUCGGAUCGUAAACUUCUAUCAACAGGGAAGAAACAAAUGACGGUACCUGAAUAAGAAGCCCCGGCUAACUACGUGCCAGCAGCCGCAGUAAAAC
rnacentral:rRNA from 1 species